GUCUUGUAAUUGGAAUGAUGGUGACCUAAACCCUCACCAGAGUAACAAUUGGAGGGCAAGUCUGGUGCCAGCAGCCGCGGUAAUUCCAGCUCCAAUAGCGUAUAUUAAACUUGUUGCAGUUAAAAAGCUCGUAGUUGAAUUUCUGCGUUAUCGAGUUAUUGACUCUUGUCUUUAAUCGAUUUCGCUUUUGGGAUUUAUCCCUUUUUACUUUGAGAAAAUUAGAGUGUUUCAAGCAGACUUUUGUCUUGAAUACUUCAGCAUGGAAUAAUAGAGUAGGACUUUGGUUCUAUUUUGUUGGUUUUUGAACCUUAGUAAUGGUUAAUAGGAACGGUUGGGGGCAUUCGUAUUUAACUGUCAGAGGUGAAAUUCUUAGAUUUGUUAAAGACGAACUACUGCGAAAGCAUUUGCCAAGGACGUUUCCAUUAAUCAAGAACGAAAGUUAGGGGAUCGAAGACGAUCAGAUACCGUCGUAGUCCUA
rnacentral:rRNA from 1 species